UCCUGGUUAGCUCAGUUGGUAGAGCGUUCUACUGGAAAUGGAGAGGUCCCUGGUUCGAUACCAGGACCAGGCG
rnacentral:tRNA from 1 species